AUUGAACGCUGGCGGCAUGCCUUACACAUGCAAGUCGAACGGUAACGGGCCUUCGGGUGCCGACGAGUGGCGAACGGGUGAGUAAUACAUCGGAACGUGCCCGAUCGUGGGGGAUAGCGAGGCGAAAGCUUUGCUAAUACCGCAUACGAUCUACGGAUGAAAGCAGGGGACCGCAAGGCCUUGCGCGGACGGAGCGGCCGAUGGCAGAUUAGGUAGUUGGUGGGAUAAAAGCUUACCAAGCCGACGAUCUGUAGCUGGUCUGAGAGGAUGAUCAGCCACACUGGGAAUGAGACACGGCCCAGACUCCUACGGGAGGCAGCAGUGGGGAAUUUUGGACAAUGGGCGCAAGCCUGAUCCAGCCAUGCCGCGUGAAGGAUGAAGGCCUUCGGGUUGUAAACUGCUUUUGUACGGAACGAAAAGCCUUCUUUUAAUACAGGAGGGUCAUGACGGUACCGUAAGAAUAAGCACCGGCUAACUACGUG
rnacentral:rRNA from 1 species